GAUGAACGCUGGCGGCGUGCCUAAUACAUGCAAGUCGAGCGAACAGACGAGGAGCUUGCGCCUCUGACGUUAGCGGCGGACGGGUGAGUAACGCAUGCAUCACCUACCUAUAUGACGGGGAUAACUUCGUAAAGCCAGAGCUACUACUGGCUAAUAUAUUGAACCGCUGGGUUCAAUAGUUCAUCACGGUUUUGCUGUCUCUUAUAGCUGGAUCCGUGUCGCAUUAGCUAGUUGGUAAGGUAACGGCUUACCAAGGCGACGAUGCGUAGCCGACCUGAGAGGGUGAUCGGCCACACUGGAACUGAGACACGGUCCAGACUCCUACGGGAGGCAGCAGUAGGGAAUCUUGCGCAAUGGGCGAAAGCCUGACGGAGCAACGCCGCGUGAGUGAUGAAGGUCUUCGGAUCGUAAAACUCUGUUAUUAGGGAAGAACAAAUGUGUAAGUAACUAUGCACGUCUUGACGGUACCUAAACAGAAAGCCACGGCUAACUACGUG
rnacentral:rRNA from 1 species